AUUCCAGCUCCAAUAGCGUAUAUUAAUGUUGUUGCAGUUAAAAAGCUCGUAGUUGGAUUCCUGGCCUGGGGUAGCCGGUCCGCCUUGCAAAAGGUGCGCACUGAGCGGCCUCGGCCAUCCUUGGGAAGAGCAGUCCUGGCAUUCAGUUGUCGGGGUUGGGAUUCCCGACGUUUACUGUGAAAAAAUCAGAGUGUUCAACGCAGGCUUACGCCUUGAAUACAUUAGCAUGGAAUAAUGAGAUAGGACCUUGGCGGUCUAUUUUGUUGGUUUGCACGCCGAGGUAAUGAUUAAAAGGGACGGUUGGGGUUCUUCGUAUUCAAUUGUCAGAGGUGAAAUUCUUGGAUUUAUGGAAGACGAACUGCUGCGAAAGCGUCGAACAAGGACGUUCUCAUUG
rnacentral:rRNA from 1 species